UCCUAUGUAAAAUGAAGUGGAUCUAGGUGAAUGCUAACUUCUAAAUCUGUAAAUUGAAUUUAAAAAAUGCACAAUUUUAUAUUUGGAGAGAGAGAGAAACAGAGGAAAGCAUCAUGGGAAGCGGGACUUCCAGGCUGACUCAACCAAGGAGAAGCCCAUUUCUGACUAACUCCCACAAAGACAAAAAAAAAAAGAAUAGAGCAUGGUGAUAUCAUUCAGUAAACAAUCUUUCCGUACUGCCCAUUGAAAACCUCAAGGCUGCGGCUUGCGUGGCAUCCCUGUUUGUGGGUAACAAAGACAAUUCUCAACUGUUCUAGUUAGGGAAUGAAGGCUAAUUGGAGGGAAAGAAGGUCUGUGGCUGAGAAAAUACCAGCCAGGAGGAGGUGGGAAGUGAUUAGGAUGGAGACUGCCUUCCCUCUCAUCCAUUCAUGAUGAUAUCUCUCAAAGGGAAGUUUCCAGAAGGGGGAGGGAGGCAGAGGGAGGCAGGGCACUCAGUAAUAAUCUCUCUUGUCCAGAAAUCAGCAGAUAUGUGCCUGGGGUGAAGGACCGUCAAUUCAUCUGUGGAGGGGUGGCUGUGUCACCCCUGGAAUGCUUCAAGACUGCAAUGAGAAAGGCAGCAAGACCUCUCCUGCAUUGACAAAUGAUGACAAGGUGGACAAUGGAGGAACAUAGAACCUGUACUCUGGGGACUCUGGCAUUCCAGAGGUAGGAAUAGGUGUAAAUGGAAAGGGGAGAUGGAACACAGGAGAAGAGAUGAUAGA
rnacentral:lncRNA from 1 species